rnacentral:rRNA from 1 species
AUUGAACGCUGGCGGCAGGCCUAACACAUGCAAGUCGAGCGGAUGAAGAGAGCUUGCUCUCUGAUUCAGCGGCGGACGGGUGAGUAAUGCCUAGGAAUCUGCCUGGUAGUGGGGGACAACGUUUCGAAAGGAACGCUAAUACCGCAUACGUCCUACGGGAGAAAGCAGGGGACCUUCGGGCCUCGCGCUAUCAGAUGAGCCUAGGUCGGAUUAGCUAGUUGGUGAGGUAAUGGCUCACCAAGGCGACGAUCCGUAACUGGUCUGAGAGGAUGAUCAGUCACACUGGAACUGAGACACGGUCCAGACUCCUACGGGAGGCAGCAGUGGGGAAUAUUGGACAAUGGGCGAAAGCCUGAUCCAGCCAUGCCGCGUGUGUGAAGAAGGUCUUCGGAUUGUAAAGCACUUUAAGUUGGGAGGAAGGGCAGUAAGUUAAUACCUUGCUGCUUUGACGUUACCGACAGAAUAAGCACCGGCUAACUCUGUGCCAGCAGCCGCCGUAAUAC